rnacentral:rRNA from 1 species
GUAGGUGGCAAGCGUUGUCCGGAAUUAUUGGGCGUAAAGCGCGCGCAGGCGGUCCUUUAAGUCUGAUGUGAAAGCCCACGGCUCAACCGUGGAGGGUCAUUGGAAACUGGGGGACUUGAGUACAAAAGAGGAAAGCGGAAUUCCACGUGUAGCGGUGAAAUGCGUAGAGAUGUGGAGGAACACCAGUGGCGAAGGCGGCUUUCUGGUCUGUAACUGACGCUGAGGCGCGAAAGCGUGGGGAGCAAACAGGAUUAGAUACCCUGGUAGUCCACGCCGUAAACGAUGAGUGCUAAGUGUUAGGGGGUUUCCCGCCCCCUUAGUGCUGCAGCUAACGCAUUAAGCACUCCGCCUGGGGAGUACGGCCGCAAGGCUG